GUUGUAUAGUCAAGUAAUUAAGUGCAUGUGGUGGAUGCCUUGGCAGUCAGAGGCGAUGAAAGACGUGAUAGCCUGCGAAAAGCUCCGGGGAGGCGGCAAAUAUCCUUUGAUCCGAAGAUGUCUGAAUGGGGGAACCCACCUACUUUAAGGUAGGUAUUGCAACAUGAAUACAUAGUGUUGCAAGGCGAACGAGGGGAAGUGAAACAUCUCAGUACCCUUAGGAAAAGAAAUCAAUUGAGAUUCCCUCAGUAGCGGCGAGCGAACGGGGAUCAGCCCAUUAAGUUAUGUGUGUUUUAGUGGAACGCUCUGGGAAGUGCGAACGUAGAGGGUGAUAUUCCCGUACACGAAAGGGCACACAUAAUGAUGACGAGUAGGGCGA
rnacentral:rRNA from 1 species